rnacentral:rRNA from 1 species
UACGGGGGGAGCGAACGUUGUUCGGAAUCAUUGGGCGUAAAGCGCGCGUAGGCGGCCCGGUAAGUCAGUGGUGAAAGCCUCCAGCUCAACUGGAGAACUGCCAUUGAUACUGUCGGGCUUGAGUACAGACGAGGUUGGCGGAAUUGAUUGUGUAGCGGUGAAAUGCAUAGAUACAAUCAAGAACUCCGAUUGCGUAGGCAGCUAACUAGGCUGUAACUGACGCUGAGGCACGAAAGCGUGGGGAGCGAACAGG